rnacentral:tRNA from 1 species
GCCCCGUUCGUCUAGUGGUUAGGACACAUGGUUUUCAUCCAUGCAACAGGAGUUCGAUUCUCCUACGGGGUACCA